rnacentral:rRNA from 1 species
UACGGAGGGUGCAAACGUUGCUCGGAAUCAUUGGGCGUAAAGCGCACGUAGGUGGCUUGUUAAGUCGGGUGUGAAAUCCCUGGGCUCAACCCAGGAAGUGCACUCGAAACUGGCGAGCUUGAGUACUGAAGAGGGUCGCGGAAUUCCCGGUGUAGAGGUGAAAUUCGUAGAUAUCGGGAGGAACACCAGUGGCGAAGGCGGCGACCUGGGCAGAUACUGACACUGAGGUGCGAAAGCGUGGGGGAGCAAACAGG